CAGCAGCCGCGGGAAUACGUAGGUGGCAAGCGUUGUCCGGAAUUAUUGGGCGUAAAGGGCUCGCAGGCGGUUUCUUAAGUCUGAUGUGAAAGCCCCCGGCUCAACCGGGGAGGGUCAUUGGAAACUGGGAAACUUGAGUGCAGAAGAGGAGAGUGGAAUUCCACGUGUAGCGGUGAAAUGCGUAGAGAUGUGGAAGAACACCAGUGGCGAAGGCGACUCUCUGGUCUGUAACUGACGCUGAGGAGCGAAAGCGUGGGGAGCGAACAGGAUUAGAGACCCCGGUAGUCCCUGUCUCUUAUAA
rnacentral:rRNA from 1 species